CGAGCGGCGGAGGGGUGAGUAGUGUCUGGGAAACUGCCUGAUGGAGGGGGAUAUCUACUGGAAACGGUCUCUAAUACCGCAUAAUGUCACAAGACCAAAGAGGGGGACCUUCGGGCCUCUUGCCCUCAUAUGUGCCCAGAUGGGAUUAUCUAAUAUGUGGGGUAACGGCUCCCCUAGGCCACUAUCCCUAUCUGGUCUGAGAGGAUGACCCCCCACUGUGGAUCUGACACGCGGUCCACACUCCUACGGGAGGCAGCAGUGGGGAAUAUUGCACAGGGGGCGCACCCGUGAUGCACCCGUGCCGCGUGUAUGAAAAGGGCCUUCGGGUUGUAAAGUAUUUUCCGCGGAGAAGAAGGCGAUGAGGUUAAUAACCUUGUCUAUUGACGUUACCCGCAAAAAAAGCACCGGCUAACUCCGUGCCAGCAGCCGCGGUAAUACAGAGGGUGCACGCGUUACUCGGAAUUACUGGGCGUAGAGCGCACGCACGCGGUCUGUCGAGUCAGAUGUGAAAUCCCCGGGCUCACCCUGAGAACUGCAUUCA
rnacentral:rRNA from 1 species